rnacentral:snRNA from 1 species
GUGUUAAAAAAUAGCCAAAGUGGAACAUGAAGAUUACAGAGAAGAUUAGCAUGGCCCCUGUCCAAGGAUGUCACACAAAUUUGUGAAGUGUUCCAUAUUUAA